rnacentral:rRNA from 1 species
CUACGGGGUGCAGCAGUGAGGAAUAUUGCACAAUGGGGGGAACCCUGAUGCAGCAACGCCGCGUGGAGGAUGACGCAUUUCGGUGUGUAAACUCCUUUUAUAUGUCAAGAAAAUGACGGUAGCAUAUGAAUAAGCACCGGCUAACUCCGUGCCAGCAGCCGCGGUAAUACGGAGGGUGCAAGCGUUACUCGGAAUCACUGGGCGUAAAGGACGCGUAGGCGGGUUGGAAAGUCAGGUGUGAAAUCCUACAGCUUAACUGUAGAACUGCACUUGAAACUUCUAAUCUAGAGUAUGGGAGGGGGAGAUGAAAUUAGUGGUGUAGGGGUAAAAUCCGUAGAUAUCACUAGGAAUACCUAAAGCGAAGGCGAUCUCCUGGAACAUUACUGACGCUAAGGCGUGAAAGCGUGGGGAGCAAACAGGAUUAGAUCCCCCGUAGUC